rnacentral:rRNA from 1 species
GUUUGAUCAUGGCUCAGAUUGAACGCUGGCGGCAGGCUUAACACAUGCAAGUCGAGCGGUAGCAGGCCUUCGGGUGCUGACGAGCGGCGGACGGGUGAGGAAUGCAUAGGAAUCUGCCUAUUAGUGGGGGAUAACACGGGGAAACUCGUGCUAAUACCGCAUACGUCCUACGGGAGAAAGCGGGGGAUCUUUGGACCUCGCGCUAAUAGAUGAGCCUAUGCCGGAUUAGCUAGUUAGUAGGGUAAAGGCCUACCAAGGCGACGAUCCGUAGCUGGUCUGAGAGGAUGAUCAGCCACACUGGGACUGAGACACGGCCCAGACUCCUACGGGAGGCAGCAGUGGGGAAUAUUGGACAAUGGGCGCAAGCCUGAUCCAGCCAUGCCGCGUGUGUGAAGAAGGCCUUCGGGUUGUAAAGCACUUUAAGUGGGGAGGAAGGUUAGUGGUUUAAUACGCUACUAAAUUGACGUUACCCACAGAAUAAGCACCGGCUAACUCUGUGCCAGCAGCCGCGGUAAUACAGAGGGUGCAAGCGUUAAUCGGAAUUACUGGGCGUAAAGCGCGCGUAGGUGGUUUUGUAAGUUGAAUGUGAAAUCCCCGGGCUUAACCUGGGAAUGGCAUCCAAAACUGCACGACUAGAGUAUGGGAGAGGGAGGUAGAAUUCCAGGUGUAGCGGUGAAAUGCGUAGAGAUCUGGAGGAAUACCGGUGGCGAAGGCGGCCUCCUGGCCUAAUACUGACACUGAGGUGCGAAAGCGUGGGUAGCAAACAGGAUUAGAUACCCUGGUAGUCCACGCCGUAACGAUGAGAACUAGCCGUUGGUCUCCUUGAGAGGUUAGUGGCGCAGCUAACGCGAUAAGUUCUCCGCCUGGGGAGUACGGCCGCAAGGUUAAAACUCAAAUGAAUUGACGGGGGCCCGCACAAGCGGUGGAGCAUGUGGUUUAAUUCGACGCAACGCGAAGAACCUUACCUGGUCUUGACAUCCACGGAAUCCUGCAGAGAUGUGGGAGUGCCUUCGGGAACCGUGAGACAGGUGCUGCAUGGCUGUCGUCAGCUCGUGUUGUGAAAUGUUGGGUUAAGUCCCGUAACGAGCGCAACCCUUGUCCUUAGUUGCCAGCGAGUAAUGUCGGGAACUCUAAGGAGACUGCCGGUGACAAACCGGAGGAAGGUGGGGACGACGUCAAGUCAUCAUGGCCCUUACGACCAGGGCUACACACGUGCUACAAUGGCCGGUACAGAGGGUUGCCAAGCCGCGAGGUGGAGCCAAUCCCGAAAAGCCGGUCGUAGUCCGGAUUGCAGUCUGCAACUCGACUGCAUGGAGUCGGAAUCGCUAGUAAUCGCAGAUCAGAAUGCUGCGGUGAAUACGUUCCCGGGCCUUGUACACACCGCCCGUCACACCAUGGGAGUGGGUUGCACCAGAAGUAGUUAGCUUAACCGCAAGGGGAGCGAUUACCACGGUGUGAUUCAUGACUGGGGUGAAGUCGUAACAAGGUA